CCAUGGUAAUGACUCCUGUGUAAUCACCUGCCGUGCAGCUGCACAUACUCGUUGGGCUGGAGAGACAAAACAUUCCUUAUGCAUUUGAGCAGACAAAUAAGGAUGAUAAAUCUGUAAAUGGAUUAACUGCUUCUGGGAAGUCCACAUCUUAGUGACUAGCAACAUUGUGCGUGCCUGCUACGUAUGGCUUGUGGAUGUUCUCUCUCUUACUUGAGGUCCAAGGUGUCUGUGAGUGUGCAGCGCCCUGGGGCAGUGCAGGGUGUCACUCCCCAGCAGACCAUACCUAUGGAGAGCCCGUUGGCCAGGCGCGUGCUGGGCGCGUGGCCGCGCGCUGGGCUGUGACACU